GACGAACGCUGGCGGCGCGCUUAACACAUGCAAGUCGAGCGAGAACCAGGGCUUCGGCUCUGGGGACAGCGGCGAACGGGUGAGUAACACGUGGAUAACCUGCCCUCGGCACCGGGAUAGCCCGGGGAAACUCGGAUUAAUACCGGAUAGCCUUUCCGACUUUCGGGUCGGUUCGAAAAGGUAGCUUCGGCCUCUGGCCGAGGAUGGGUCCGCGGCGGAUUAGCUUGUUGGUGGGGUAACGGCCUACCAAGGCUCCGAUCCGUAGCUGGUCUGAGAGGACGAUCAGCCACACUGGGACUGAGACACGGCCCAGACUCCUACGGGUGGCAG
rnacentral:rRNA from 1 species